UACGUAGGGUCCGAGCGUUGUCCGGAUUUAUUGGGCGUAAAGAGCUCGUAGGCGGCUCAGUAAGUCAGAUGUGAAAACUCAGGGCUCAACCCGGAGACGCCAUCUGAUACUGCUGUGGCUUGAGUCUGGUAGGGGAUCACGGAAUUCCUGGUGUAGCGGUGAAAUGCGCAGAUAUCAGGAGGAACACCGAUGGCGAAGGCAGUGAUCUGGGCCGGUACUGACGCUGAGACGCGAAAGCGUGGGGAGCGAACAGG
rnacentral:rRNA from 1 species